rnacentral:lncRNA from 1 species
ACAGAGAAACAAGUAAAGAAAAUCAUGGCUACUCACAGAAAUAAGUAAAGAAAAUCUUUAGAAAAAAAUUAGGGCUUUUUAACGGAAUUGGGUUAAAAAGAAGUACGAACAUGGAAUCGGUCCAGAUAAACAAGGGAAAAAGGUUUAAUCGUAAAGAAAUAAGUCAAAACAGGUACAGAAAGAACUCCAAAAAAACCUUGUUUGCAAAGGGAGGAAAAACAAUUUAGAGUAGAAUAUAUUUCGGAAGAAAGCUCAAGAAUAAGCAAAUCAAAUAGGCGUAAAGCAUAGAAAUAACAUAGAUCUAAGAGAUUCAGG